ensembl:lncRNA
AGCAUAUGCCCCUUUGCCCUUCCAGACUCCAAAGUGCUAUAUUACUGCUGUUUGUCUCUCUUGAGCCACCGUAACUGCAUCGCUUUAACACUUCAUCAAAAUAGUAUGAAUUAAUCGAAGAUAAAUCAUAUACAGUAUAUCAUUUUACGGGUUUUUUUCUGAGGAGGUCUUAGUUGCGCAAUUUUACAUCUAACCAAGAUGUUUGGUGCAGUAUUUCUCAAGUGACAAAAUGUGCAUGAAAACUAGUCGUCUCUCGUUGAAUGACAAACUUUGUUGAAGACUCCUUCCCCUAAUUCCCACUUCUACUAGGAGUAGUACUGCUAACCAAUCUCUUAUGAAGAGGCGGUAGACUCAAGAAAACUUGCCUCAAGAAAAACAGACGGGUGCAACUUUGCUUAACUGAGCUCAAGGCUAGAAAUCAACACAUCUGAAGAAAUAUAAAUGAAAAUGAAAGAUGCCAUCUCUUCUAGAAAGAGCCCAGAUGUUACAUCAUCCCGACAACCCUCAGUGAGGAGGAUGGUCCUCCCCUUCUUCCUCCGAGGAGCCUUGAAUUGCAGAGGGCAGUCCAUAAGCGCA